CUGCAGCCUGAGUGGUGAUCGAUUUUAUUGAGCCUAAAGCGUCCGUAGCCGGACUAGUAAACCCUUGGGUAAAUUGGGCAGCUUAACUGUCCAAAUUCCGAGGGGACUGCUAGUCUUGGGACCGGGAGAGGUCAGAGGUACUCAAGGGGUAGGGGCUAAAUCCUGUAAUCCUUUGGGGACCACCAGUGGCGAAGGCGUCUGACUAGAACGGAUCCGACGGUAAGGGACGAAACCCUGGGGCGCGAACCGGAUUAGAUACCCGAGUAGUCC
rnacentral:rRNA from 1 species